AUUGAACGCUGGCGGAAUGCUUUACACAUGCAAGUCGAGCGGCAGCGCGGGGGCAACCCUGGCGGCGAGCGGCGAACGGGUGAGUAAUACAUCGGAACGUGUCCUUAAGUGGGGGAUAGCUCGGCGAAAGCCGGAUUAAUACCGCAUAAGCUCUGAGGAGGAAAGCGGGGCUCCGUAAGGACCUCGCGCUGUUGGAGCGGCCGAUGUCGGAUUAGCUAGUU
rnacentral:rRNA from 1 species